UACGUAGGUGGCAAGCGUUGUCCGGAAUUAUUGGGCGUAAAGCGCGCGCAGGUGGUUCCUUAAGUCUGAUGUGAAAGCCCACGGCUCAACCGUGGAGGGUCAUUGGAAACUGGGGAACUUGAGUGCAGAAGAGGAAAGUGGAAUUCCACGUGUAGCGGUGAAAUGCGUAGAGAUGUGGAGGAACACCAGUGGCGAAGGCGACUUUCUGGCCUGUAACUGACACUGAGGCGCGAAAGCGUGGGGAGCGAACAGG
rnacentral:rRNA from 1 species